GAGGUCUAUACAUGCAAGUCGACGAUGACGGUGGUGCUUGCACCGCCUGAUUAGUGGCGAACGGGUGAGUAACACGUGAGUAACCUGCCCUCCACUUCGGGAUAACCUCGGGAAAUCGUGGCUAAUACCGGAUAUGAGCACUCAUCGCAUGGUGGGUGUUGGAAAGAUUUAUCGGUGGGGGAUGGACUCGCGGCCUAUCAGUUUGUUGGUGAGGUGAUGGCUCACCAAGACGAUGACGGGUAGCCGGCCUGAGAGGGCGACCGGCCACACUGGGACUGAGACACGGCCCAGACUCCUACGGGAGGCAGCAGUGGGGAAUAUUGCACAAUGGGCGAAAGCCUGAUGCAGCGACGCCGCGUGGGGGAUGACGGCCUUCGGGUUGUAAACCCCUUUCAGUAGGGAAGAAGCGAGAGUGACGGUACCUGCAGAAGAAGCGCCGGCUAACUACGUGCCAGCAGCCGCGGUAAUACGUAGGGCGCAAGCGUUGUCCGGAAUUAUUGGGCGUAAAGAGCUUGUAGGUGGCUUGUCGCGUCUGCCGUGAAAACCCGAGGCUCAACCUCGGGCGUGCGGUGGGUACGGGCAGGCUAGAGUGUGGUAGGGGCAGACUGGGAACUCCUGGUGUAGCGGUGAAAUGCGCAGAUAUCAGGAAGAACACCGUGUGGCGAAGGCAGGUCUCUGGGCCAUUACUGACACUGAGAAGCGAAAGCAUGGGUAGCGAACAGGAUUAGAUACCCUGGUAGUCCAUGCCGUAAACGUUGGGCACUAGGUGUGGGGGGAC
rnacentral:rRNA from 1 species